UUAGACUUAAGGGUUUCCAGGUGAAAAUACCUGGGACAAGAAGGUCACAAGAACAAACUGUACUGCAAAGACAGAUGCUCUUCAGUCUCAGGGGCAGACCUGGUAGACACUAUGGAAAAAAGAAGACACCACACCAGGGAGUGAAGAAUCUAAAAUUUCCAAUCUUUCUUAGUCUUUGCAAGGGAGAUAUUCUAAAAUUUUCCAGAAGAAAUUUCUUUAACUCAUUUGCCACAAAGUUCCAGACCUGGGACAAUUACCUGGCAUAUGUUGUCUCGUAAGAAAGAAAUCAAAGUAAGACAGAAGCUUUUUUUCACGUGCUUUGUAUAACCUGGGAAAAAAAUGCUGUAGAAACACUAGCUAGAAGCAAAUUGUCUCAGUGUCAAUUUGAGAUCAUACAGAACUGUUAGAAUCUAUCACUGGAACACAAACCUGUGCACCACCUGUUUUUGCCAAAUAGAUGUUAUCAAGCAUUAAAAGAUAAGCAGUUUUCUUUUUAUUAAUCAGUCAAAGCAACCUUUCUUCACAUUUGGUAAGACACUUGUCUUUUAUUUGAAUGUACCAAUUAAGUAACAUCAGGAAACAUUCAAUUUCCUUCUUAAAAAUAAGUAAAAGGAGUUUGCAGUUUUGAUUUACAGUCUUUUGGAACUGGCAUUAAAAGUAAUAUAUUACCACUCAGUUCAGGAGUAAAACAACUUUGAAUCCUACUAUUCUAGUCACUUAACACAAAUGUCGUAGGACACAAUGGGAAAUGAGUCAGCAUCAGAGUUACUGUUUUUAACAGUUCUAUGGAUAUGACUAGGAAAAUGCAGUUAAGGAAAUCACAGCUGUUCAAUUUCUGCAGAAGGACAUUUAGGAAUAGUGGAAGUUAUUAAGCACUUUUAAAAUAUAAAACAAAUGCAGACAACUCCGAGUUAACAAUUACCCACAGCAUUUUGUUAUUGUGUGAUUGUGUGAUGAUUUGGAGGUCCAUGGCAAGAAAGGCAAAGAGAGAUAUUAAAUUCAGCUGUCAGGCUAGUUAAAAAGAAAUAAUGGAACAUAAAGCAAGACUAAUGACAUGAAGUUAAAUAAAAAGAGGGUAAACUUCCUUUUUGGUGUACA
rnacentral:lncRNA from 1 species